AUGAGACUUUAUUGUCGCAUGACAAAGAAGUUAAAGCGUAAAGCGGUGAAAGAUGGUCUCGCGUCCUAUUAGCUAGUUGGUGAGGUAACGGCUCACCAAGGCUGCGAUAGGUAGCCGGCCUGAGAGGGUGAACGGCCACACUGGAACUGAGACACGGUCCAGACUCCUACGGGAGGCAGCAGUGGGGAAUAUUGCACAAUGGAGGAAACUCUGAUGCAGCGACGCCGCGUGAAUGAUGAAGGCCUUCGGGUUGUAAAGUUCUGUCCUUGGGGAAGAUAAUGACGGUACCCAAGGAGGAAGCCCCGGCUAACUACGUGCCAGCAGCCGCGGUAAUACGUAGGGGGCGAGCGUUGUCCGGAAUUAUUGGGCGUAAAGGGUUCGUAGGCGGUCUGAUAAGUCAGAUGUGAAAGGCUAUGGCUUAACCAUAGUAAGCAUUUGAAACUGUCAGACUUGAGUUAAGGAGAGGAAAGUGGAAUUCCUAGUGUAGCGGUGAAAUGCGUAGAUAUUAGGAGGAAUACCAGUGGCGAAGGCGACUUUCUGGACUUAUACUGACGCUGAGGAACGAAAGCGUGGGGAGCAAACAGGAUUAGAUACCCUGGUAGUCCACGCCGUAAACGAUGAGUGCUAGGUGUUGGGGGUCAAACCUCGGUGCCGCAGCUAACGCA
rnacentral:rRNA from 1 species